rnacentral:rRNA from 1 species
UACGUAGGGUGCAAGCGUUAUCCGGAAUUAUUGGGAGUAAAGAGCUCGUAGGCGGUUUGUCGCGUCUGCUGUGAAAACUGGAGGCUCAACCUCCAGCCUGCAGUGGGUACGGGCAGACUAGAGUGCGGUAGGGGAGAUUGGAAUUCCUGGUGUAGCGGUGGAAUGCGCAGAUAUCAGGAGGAACACCGAUGGCGAAGGCAGAUCUCUGGGCCGUAACUGACGCUGAGGAGCGAAAGCGUGGGGAGCGAACAGG